rfam:Triticum aestivum genome assembly, contig: Triticum_aestivum_CS42_TGACv1_scaffold_221884_3B
UUUGUACUUCCUCCGUCCGAAAAUACUUGUCAUCAAAAUUGAUAAAAGGGGAUGCAUCUAGACGUAUUUUAGUUCUAGAUACACCUGUUUUUGUCCAUUUUGAUGACAAGUAUUUUCGGACGGAGGAAGUACUAG